rnacentral:rRNA from 1 species
CCUACGGGCGGCAGCAGUGGGGAAUAUUGGACAAUGGGGGCAACCCUGAUCCAGCCAUGCCGCGUGUGUGAAGAAGGCCCUCGGGUUGUAAAGCACUUUCAGUGAGGAAGAACGCCUGGUGGUUAAUACCCAUCAGGAAAGACAUCACUCACAGAAGAAGCACCGGCUAACUCCGUGCCAGCAGCCGCGGUAAUACGGAGGGUGCGAGCGUUAAUCGGAAUUACUGGGCGUAAAGCGCGCGUAGGUGGCUUGAUAAGCCGGUUGUGAAAGCCCCGGGCUCAACCUGGGAACGGCAUCCGGAACUGUCAAGCUAGAGUGCAGGAGAGGAAGGUAGAAUUCCCGGUGUAGCGGUGAAUGCGUAGAGAUCGGGAGGAAUACCAGUGGCGAAGGCGGCCUUCUGGACUGACACUGACACUGAGGUGCGAAAGCGUGGGUAGCAAACAGGAUUAGAUACCCGAGUAGUC